rnacentral:rRNA from 1 species
UGCAUAUCAAAAAAGCGGAGGAAAAGAAACCAACAGGGAUUGCCUCAGUAACGGCGAGUGAAGCGGCAACAGCUCAAAUUUGAAAUCUGGCCUCUUGGGGUCCGAGUUGUAAUUUGUAGAGGAUGUUUCGGGUACCGCCUCGGUUUAAAUUUCUUGGAACAGAAUGUCAAAGAGGGUGAGAAUCCCGUCUUGGACCGGCGGUAGGGCCUAUGUGAAACUCCUUCGACGAGUCGAGUUGUUUGGGAAUGCAGCUCAAAAUGGGUGGUAAAUUUCAUCUAAAGCUAAAUAUUGGCCAGAGACCGAUAGCGCACAAGUAGAGUGAUCGAAAGAUGAAAAGCACUUUGAAAAGAGAGUUAAACAGUAUGUGAAAUUGUUGAAAGGGAAGCGCUUGCAACCAGACUUGAGCGCGGCGGUUCCCCCUUGCUUCUGCUUGGGUUACUCCGCCGUGUCCAGGCCAACAUCGGUUCUGGGGGUCGGUCAAAGGCUCUGGGAAUGUAUCUACCCACGGGUAGACUUAUAGACCAGGGUGUCAUGCGACCUCCCGGGACCGAGGAACGCGCUUCGGCUCGGAUGUUGGCGUAAUGGUUGUCAGCGACCCGUCUUGAAACCACGGACCAAA